AUUGAACGCUGGCGGCAUGCCUUACACAUGCAAGUCGAACGGCAGCACGGGGCAACCUGGUGGCGAGUGGCGAACGGGUGAGUAAUGCAUCGGAACGUACCUUUCAGUGGGGGAUAACGUAGCGAAAGUUACGCUAAUACCGCAUAUUCUGUGAGCAGGAAAGCAGGGGAUCGCAAGACCUUGCGCUGAUUGAGCGGCCGAUGUCAGAUUAGCUAGUUGGUGAGGUAAAGGCUCACCAAGGCGACGAUCUGUAGCGGGUCUGAGAGGAUGAUCCGCCACACUGGAACUGAGACACGGUCCAGACUCCUACGGGAGGCAGCAGUGGGGAAUUUUGGACAAUGGGGGCAACCCUGAUCCAGCCGUGCCGCGUGAGUGAAGAAGGCCUUCGGGUUGUAAAGCUCUUUCGGCCGGGAAGAAAUCGCACGGGCUAAUACCCUGUGUGGUUGACGGUACCGGAAUAAGAAGCACCGGCUAACUACGUGCCAGCCGCCGCAGUAACAC
rnacentral:rRNA from 1 species